UGGGGAAUAUUGCACAAUGGGCGCAAGCCUGAUGCAGCCAUGCCGCGUGUAUGAAGAAGGCCUUCGGGUUGUAAAGUACUUUCAGCGAGGAGGAAGGCGGUAAGGUUAAUAACCUUAUCGAUUGACGUUACUCGCAGAAGAAGCACCGGCUAACUCCGUGCCAGCAGCCGCGGUAAUACGGAGGGUGCAAGCGUUAAUCGGAAUUACUGGGCGUAAAGCGCACGCAGGCGGUCUGUCAAGUCAGAUGUGAAAUCCCCGGGCUCAACCUGGGAACUGCAUUCGAAACUGGCAGGCUAGAGUCUUGUAGAGGGGGGUAGAAUUCCAGGUGUAGCGGUGAAAUGCGUAGAGAUCUGGAGGAAUACCGGUGGCGAAGGCGGCCCCCUGGACAAAGACUGACGCUCAGGUGCGAAAGCGUGGGGAGCAAACA
rnacentral:rRNA from 1 species